rnacentral:rRNA from 1 species
GCAAGUCGAGGGGUAACAGGAAGAAGCUUGCUUUUUCGCUGACGACCGGCGCACGGGUGCGUAACGCGUAUACAAUCUACCUUUUGCUGAGGGAUAGCCCAGAGAAAUUUGGAUUAAUACCUCAUGGUAUGCAGAGUUCGCAUGGACACUGCAUUAAAGGCUACGGCAAAAGAUGAGUAUGCGUUCUAUUAGCUAGAUGGUAAGGUAACGGCUUACCAUGGCGACGAUAGAUAGGGGCCCUGAGAGGGGGAUC